UAAAAAUUUCAGAACCCCUCAACACUAUUUCCUACUGUUCAAAAACCAAAAACAAGCAAUUGAAAUAGUAAUGAACAGUUCAAUUAAAAUCUCCAUCCUGCCCUCAAUCUUCCCUCCUUCCUCACUCUUGCUUUGUUUCCCUCAAAUCCAUCCAUUUUUUAUGCUUUUCCCUGACCUUCAACCUCCCUCUUCCCUCCUUCCUUCUUCUAAUUUGUCCUUCUCACCAUGCUUUAUUUUUCCUCUUAUUUGUCCCUUUUCUCUUUCUCUAUCACAUUCCAGCUCCUUCCUCACUUCUCUUUCAUUUGCAAUUAACAUUGACAUUAUGAACAAACUAUCAUUUUUGACGAAAGAGAAAAGUAGUGGUAGUUUCUAGAGACAAUUUUGAUCAUGCUUUGAGAUCCUUCUCUUGAUCCAGUGAUACUACUUAGAGACAAUUAACAUUGAAUGAUCAAACUAUCUUUGUUUUUUGUAUUUUUAUAGUCUUGGGUUAUUUGGGUUGAUUUGUUUGAAUUAGGUAUUCCGUGGAAGUUAAUAUCUUGAACCACUGAUUAAUCAUCAAAACCAUUACUUUCAGGCAUGUGGAGAUGGAGAUCUCAACUGACAUAGUCAUACAUGUUUUGGAUGUCAAAGUUCAUCUACAUAAGCCAUGUGCUGUGAAGGAUGACGGUCAGACUGAAGAAAUUUGUAAUCUUGUUGUACAAGGCUUUGCAUAUUGAUGAUUUAGUUGGGUAUGUGUAACAAGUACACCUUCAGCAUAUGACCAACAUAAGGUUGAUACUGGGAACAGCAUAGAGGAACAGUGUGCUGAACCUAGACCAACCCAAGUUAAUGAAGCUGAUGAACAAAGAGCUGAGGAACAGUUACUCACUACUAUGAACAGUUACUCACUACUAUGAACAUACAUAGUCCAGCCUUGAGAAAAGCGUACAUAGUCCUGUAUAUAAAAGAGGAAGGAUAAGGAACAGCUGGGUGUUCCCAUGAUAAGGAACAGCUGGGUGUUCCCAAACUCGGAAACAAUAAGGAACAGUUAGGUGUUCCCAAGCACUGACAAAGAAGAGCCAGCACAUUCUGAUUUAAGGCUUCGGUUAUAGCCGUUGAAAUUUAGACGCCUCUUUCUUGUAUAGUCGUUAAGAGGAUGAAAGCCAAAACUAUAAAUAAGGCUCUCCUCCGCAUUGUAAAGAUACACAUGUUUUAGUUUUAAUUGAUCAACGAUUCUAGUAAUCAUUCAGAGAACAAA